CAGGAUGAACGCUAGCGACAGGCCUAACACAUGCAAGUCGAGGGGCAGCACAAGGAGCAAUCUGAGGUGGCGACCGGCGCACGGGUGAGUAACACGUAUGCAACCUGCCUGUAAGCGGGGAAUAACCCGUUGAAAGACGGACUAAUACCGCAUAAUACUAAAUUACUGCAUGGUAAUUUAUUUAAACAUUUAUGGCUUACAGAUGGGCAUGCGCAUGAUUAGCUAGUUGGAGAGGUAACGGCUCCCCAAGGCAACGAUCAUUAGGGGUUCUGAGAGGAAGGUCCCCCACACUGGUACUGAGACACGGACCAGACUCCUACGGGAGGCAGCAGUGAGGAAUAUUGGUCAAUGGACGAGAGUCUGAACCAGCCAAGUCGCGUGCAGGAAGAAUGUCCCUAUGGAUUGUAAACUGCUUUUGCAGGGGAAUAAAGUGCAUCACGUGUGAUGUUUUGUAUGUACUCUGCGAAUAAGGAUCGGCUAACUCCGUGCCAGCCGCUGC
rnacentral:rRNA from 1 species